GUACAGCAAGACAAUGCUAGGACUCAUAUAAAACCAGAUGAUCCACUUUUUUUGCAGGAAGCUGCUAGGGGUGGUUGGGAUAUUAGGAUGAUAUACCAACCACCUAAUUCUCCCGACACAAACAUAUUAGAUCUUGGUUGGUUUGCCUCAAUUCAAGCCAUGUUCCAUAGAAAGAUGCCCAAGACCCUAGCCGAGAUUGUCCAAAAGGUUAAUCAAUCCCUAGCUGAGUACCCCCAUCAAAAGCUCAACAGGAUCUAGUUGAGUCAUCAAGCGUGCAUGAGAGAGAUCAUCAAGCACAAAGGGUCUAUCCACUACGCAGUUCCUCACUUGAAGAAAAAAGCAUUAGAGAGACAAGGACUUCUCCCGGUUCGUUUGACGAUUCAUCUAGAAUAUGUUGAGCAAGCAAUUGAGUUCUUGAACUCAACAUGAUUUGUACUGCCUCAUGUGAUGGUGCUACUAUUCGAGUAUUAGUUUCAUUAAUCUUA